GAAUUUUAUACCUGAAAACAUCCUUAAAGAGAGGCUUGACAAUGAUACUUUGGAGGCUGUCAAUGCUAUCAACAACAAGUUAGUUUAUAGCCAAAAAUAUGUGAAGUUGAAAACAAAACUGUUUUACAAACAGCAGAAGUUCAAUCUUUUACGAGAAGAAAGUGAAGGAUACAGCAAACUUGUAACUGAG